CUCAGGGAUCGCGCGUCACUGGCCAGCUGCGGCUUCGCCCGCUCCUCUCGAGCUGCGAAGCAGCCGUAGAGUUUUUUGAAGUUUCAUAUUCCUGGCUGUUCGCAUGUUACGCUCAAGGCUUCACAGCCACGAGGAGGCAGUUCUAAUAAAGCCCUCUGUGCCUGCAGAGUAGACCAUCCCUUGGAGCUUACAACUUGACGGAACAAGGAGCAUCUCUCCUAUCCGGAGUGCCUCCCAGGUAUCCUUAGAAGAUAGUCCUCCUGCCUCCUGGAAUGAAUGGGCUUUGUUUUGACGUGGGCCCCAUACUAAGAAUCUGUGAAUCUAUGAUGUCCUGUCGUCACAUCGGCUGCCUCCAGCAGACAGGCAGGAGUGUAAGACCUGGACUUCAUUUUGGAAUUGGAAGAGUUCUUACAGAAUAUCUGAGCCUGAAUUUGUGCUCCAAGAUACUGGCUUUCGAGGGGGCCUGAUGAACUUGACCCUUCUUGCUGCUGGGUGGAGCUGUGAACCCAUUUUUAGCAGAUGAGGCAAAGGAGUCAGGCAGGUGUAGAUUAAAACACAGUUUUUAUUACUUUACCGGUAAUAAAUCAGCUUUACCAUCUGAUACUGGAGAAUGUGGCUCAGAGCAGCUUAGACAAAUGGGCUUUGUGAUACUGAAUUCCAAAAUGAGGUUCACGCACCCACCAGUCACAGGAGCACAGAAAUUGCAGACUUGGCCACAUCGUCCUUGAGGACGCGAUUGCACAGGGAACAGAGGAGGACAGGCUUUGUGCGGGCAGCCAGCUCCCUAAAUAAAGGCAGACAGAGGAAGGAGUGGAGUCAUCAAGUAUCAGGUUCUCUCCUCCAUUUACCACUCAAGUAACUUGCUCCUUGUCAGGGGAGCAGUAAGGAUGAGGGAGAGAAGGAGUGAAAGAGCAGGAUUUAUGGGAAUGGACGCUAUCCUUUCUAAGGUUUAUGAAGGUGGAAAGUGUAAAUGUAAGCACAAGCAGUUGCAUGGCA